rnacentral:lncRNA from 1 species
UCAAAUUGUAGUAAGUUUUUUUCUCUCACUCCUAAAACACGGUCCCUUUCUUCUCCUUCUGGUUACUGGUUAGUGUCCUUCAUCCUCUCAAUCUUCAUCUUCAACCUCUCAUUUUCCUUAUUUUCUUCAUUUUACAAAUCAGUUAAACCAAAAGCUUUUAGAACCAUUUUUAAGCGUUGCAUGUCUCAUCUGUUCAUAACCAGAUUCAACCAAGGAAGCAGCAAGGGAUAAUAACCCAAAAAUGAAGAACUUGAGUCGAAGUGGCAAUUCAUGAAAAAGGGAAGCUCAACAAUCAAUCUAAUUAGAACGUCUUCUCCCUUAUCAAACUGUGAGUUUCUAUCAUUCUUCAUUUAAGAAAUUUCUCCAAAGACUUGGGCAUGCAUGUUAGUUUUGAGAAUGUUUACAAGGAAAUUAUGUUUUUGUUUUUAGGAAAAAUGAGGAGUUUUUGUUGAAACUGAUAAGAAAUGUUUUAGGUGCAUGCAUUUUGUUUUACUAAUGGAUAGAAAAUUCUAAUUUUUAUCCCAAAUAUUCAAUGCAUGAGAGGUGUUUGAUGAAAAUACUGUGAUAACUGUUGCAGUAGCUUUGUGGUAUUUAAGUUUAGUUUUCUAAAUAAAAACAAAACUAUGUAAACAAGUCUUAGAAUAAGAUUUUUCAUGAAUUAUUGAUUUCGAAUUUUGAGAUGAGACCACCUAUGUUGUGUUUAUAGGCAAGUUCUUUUUAUUAAAGGGUUUUGUUGUUGUUGUUGUUGUUACGAUUAGGGAUUUCAUUUUCUGAAGUUGUUGAAAAUAAGUUAGAACGUAGGCCGUUGUUUACGGUUGUGAUGUUUGUGAAUGAAUUAUGUAUUAGGAAAAAUUUAAUUAUAUGUGCAUCAUUAGAUUUAAGGUGAUUAUGCUUGUCGAGCACGAUUUAUGCUCGUUACUGCUGUUGUUGCCUCUGAUGUGUGUUUGUGAAAUUGUGUUAUGUUACGCUAAUUUCGUUUAGAAUGAUGAUUUUAGGUGCUGAAAUUUUUGAGUAAAUUAUUUUGGAUUAUUACAGAUUAGGAGAAUUAGAGUGCGAUGAAAUGAAACUUUGCAUAUAGGUGUUUUUUUUUAAAAAAACUGCAUUCAAAUGAUUUUUUCAUGACUUUUAUGUUGUUAUUAAUUUCAUGACUUUGAUGUGUUACUAUUUUCAUGACUCCAAUGUUAUUUUUAUAUUCCUGACUAUAAUUUUUAUUUUUAUUUUGAAUUAAGGACUUAGGAUUAAAUUAUUAUGAGUUUCGUAUAUCACCUAAAGUUAUUUAUAAUUGUUAUGAAUGAAUAAUGCAUUUUAUAUAUGACAUAACAAGUGCACUUCAUACAAAAACAUUUCAAGUUUUGUACAAUAUCAUUAAUCACAUCAUGCAUGACCUUACUCACGGUGGGACAUUUAGGUUAUUCCAGGCAUGGAAUAACAGGUAAAAGAGAACAAUCAGGACGAUUGGGGUUUGGCCAGACCACCUUUACCAAUCAGGACUCAAUAUUUUGGUGACCCACAAUAAGAUAUUGGGCGACUUUUUCCUUAUUCCAAAGGAAAAGAUUUGAGGUCAUGCAUAUGUUGUUCAGAAUUAUAUAUAUAUAUAUAAAUAGACAUGUAUAAUAAUAAUAAUAAUAAUAAUAAUUGUUUUUUUUCUUGAGAUGUAUAACUACUUUUGUAUGUUUUAUACACUUUUAUGAAAAAAGAAACUCUUUGAGGUUGUUUUCCUCUUAUAUAUAGAGCUCACUGAGAUAUUUUAUCCCUUCCCAAUUAUUAUUAUUUUUUUUUACAGCUGGAGGAACAUGAGACAUGAAAACUAGCAUCAGAAGAUCAGUUCCAAACUUCUGGACUUAGAAUUUGAUUUUUUUUUUGUUUUAUGAUGUAAUCAGACAAUCGUAGUUUAUGUUCAAGAUGUAAUAUUUUAUGAAUCUACUAAACAUGUUGUAAACUAUAUUUCUGAAUGUAGUUUUCAGUUAUGAUGGUGAUUCUAAUU